AUGAAUUCCUAGAAACGCUGAAGAACAAGAGGUAGACAGAAUACAUUACAAAGAAAUUGUGAAAGUGACUUAAUUUUUGAAACAGAAAAUCAGAACAGAGGGCAAAGAAACUGCAGAAAAAUGAAGACGGAGCUAUACUGCCCUCAUUAAAUAUUUACCUCCUACUGGAGAUGAAAACCUGUCAAAUUAAAAAAAAAAAAAAGAAAAAAAAAAGAAAAAAAAAAGAAAGAAAUUCAAAUCCAGGAAAAAAAAUGUAUAAGUUGGUAGCAGCAUCUAAAAGUUAAGCAUCUUCUGAUUCUGUGCAGGGAGAAAGGAUUUAUUAAGUUACUAUGAUGGAACCAUAAGAAAAUAGAAAGCACAGAGCUGUGAAGAAUCUGCGGAACAGCUUGAAAGAAACAGCACAGAUGGAUCUAAAGAUCACUUGCAUCCAGACGACAGCUUCAGAAAAAGGUGGUACACUGCCUGCAGAAAUUGGCCGUUGUCCUCCCAUCACAGAGCAUCAAGAGUGAUCCAAAGCUGCAGAUCAAGACUUGGCAGGUAGAUCUGGCAAGAACCUGUGGGCAGGGGCUGGAGCAUCUCAGAAAUACAGUCUCUGCCAGUUUGCCCAGGGAUGAAGCCUCCAGCAACAAAAUUCCAUGUGGCUUUUUGCAUGGCCACAGUCACCUGUUGAUAUUUUAAAUGGAGAAAUUUACACAGAAGAGAUGAGCUUAAGCCAGCAAUCUAGAAGAGAUCUGAAUCUUAAUAAGCAAGAAGCAGCACUGCUUUUUCCUUAAGUAGAUCAAUCUACGAAGACAAGAUUUUUCUCUCCGGUUGGGAAAGCAUAUGGAGAAAGCCACUACAUUGGUUAAGGGCUGAAGGCGAUGUUGCCAAGGGCAAAGAAAUGUUCAGUGAAAUCAGUAUCUAUGACAGCUGAUACUGUCCAUGUAUUUGAAAGCUAAAAUCUCUUCCUUGCAAGAGAGCGCGUCGCAGCUGUAUUUCAUCCAUCUUCCCCAAAGCUCCUAAGAGCCUCCAAGGAUCUCCACGUAGCCACUGUUCUCCGUGGCCCCACCAAUGUGUCACAUUACUCGCCCUACAGCAUGUCGUUUGGGCUGAGGCUUGGAGCAGUGUGUAAAGCGGCAAUUAAGCUAUGUAAACCGGGCCAAAGCGGAUGUUGAAUCAUGAGUUGUUCAGGGCCAUGAAACAAUUUGAUCUGUCUGAGGAAGUCUGCUGCAGAAAGCAGAUUUAAAAGGAGAGAGUCACACACAGAUGGGGGAAUGCAAGCAAAGCAUUUCUCUGACUGGAGAGCAUCUGGCAUACCAUUAAGCUACACUUAAAUAACUAACGAGCUAAACAAAAAUUUUAAGUAGUGCGUGAUGUGUGUCUUUUGGAAGGACCUGAAAUAUGACAGCUGAAGACAAGUCACAGGAUGUUUAACUACCGGAGAUCCGAAGCUGUCCAAACGGAUGCUUAAACCAUAGCCAGAAGCAAAGGAAAAUGAAAAAAAUCCCAAAACAACAAACACACACAGAGUCUGUUCAAGUCAAAAUGAUGGAUAUGAUGGAGAACUGGACCUGCAAAUGUAAAGACAGAAAAAUAAUUACUGCAUUGUAGACUACAGCACUUAAAUGAGAGCAAGAAGGCUGGGUAACUGAGCUUUAUUUCAUUAUAUUUUACCAGGCUUUAAAUUUUACCAAUCUCUAAGACCAGAUGCAGCUCUGCUUAUCCACUACCAGAUAAUUUUGCCUCUGGGCACAAAAGUUGGACAGUUAUCCCACAAUCACUAAGUCUGCAGUCCCCUAAGUCUUUUACAUAGAAGAACCGAUGUUUAUGCUACUUUUUAGAAACAGAGAGGUGAAACAGCUCUCGUGCAGCUCUGGAGUCCUCAGCAAUUCUGCCUCUCUCGGAUCCUGAGGAACUAGUCUCUCUGGAUUUCUCUUCUCAUUUGUUACAAAAAACACUAACACCUUUCUUUUUUCCUAGCAUCUUCCAUGUUUACUUUCAUUACCUUGUAAAACACAGCCACAAAAGAAGGUGGACUGUGAUCCUUUUGCAUACACUACUGAAUUAGGAGGAGUUUGGCUCAGAGGAUGGUCAGUGUACUACAUGCAGCUAUAAGAAAGCCUGAUAUCAGUUCAAUUAACGUUAAGAAGAAGAAGAAAACCCAAACACUCAGAUGAGAAUAAUUUGUAACUAGAUGUAGCUGUGCACUUGAAAAAGAGGUGCAGGUAAUGUGUUUCAGGACAUUGCCAAAGGAGUAAAAUAAUAUUUACCCACUGCUUACAUUAUUUUAAAUAUAACACAAUUUUUAAACUUUUAGAAAGAAAGAAUCUUUGGCUGUAGCCUGUGCUUGGAAGACAGUUGUAUUUCACCCCUGUUAAGCAGACUAGCUCACAGCUGGCUAAAGAUUAUCACCCCAAAAUACAGCUGCACUUAAUUUGAAGAUGCCCCAUCCUUGCCUUUGUUGUUUUGUGUUCACUUCCUGAGUGGUUAAUAACAGUUAAAUGAAUAUAAUAAUAAAA